AUUGAACGCUGGCGGCAUGCUUUACACAUGCAAGUCGAACGCCCCGCAAGAGGAGUGGCAGACGGGUGAGUAACGCGUGGGAAUCUACCUAGUUCUACGGAACAACACAGGGAAACUUGUGCUAAUACCGUAUACGCCCUACGGGGGAAAGAUUUAUCGGAAUUAGAUGAGCCCGCGUAAGAUUAGCUAGUUGGUGGGGUAAUGGCCUACCAAGGCGACGAUCCUUAGCUGGUCUGAGAGGAUGGUCAGCCACACUGGGACUGAGACACGGCCCAGACUCCUACGGGAGGCAGCAGUGGGGAAUAUUGGACAAUGGGCGCAAGCCUGAUCCAGCCAUGCCGCGUGAGUGAUGAAGGCCUUAGGGUUGUAAAGCUCUUUCAGUGGGGAAGAUAAUGACGGUACCCGCAGAAGAAGCCCCGGCUAACUUCGUGCCAGCCGCCGCCGUAA
rnacentral:rRNA from 1 species